UACGAUCGGUGACAGGUGGUGGCAUGGUUGUCGUCAGCUCGUGUCGUGAGAUGUUGGGUUAAGUCCCGCAACGAGCGCAACCCUAUUGUUAGUUGCCAUCAUUCAGUUGGGCACUCUAGCGAGACUGCCGGUAAUAAACCGGAGGAAGGUGGGGAUGACGUCAAAUCAUCAUGCCCCUUAUGACCUGGGCUACACACGUGCUACAAUGGUUGGUACAACGAGUUGCGAGUCGGUGACGGCGAGCUAAUCUCUUAAAGCCAAUCUCAGUUCGGAUUGUAGGCUGCAACUCGCCUACAUGAAGUCGGAAUCGCUAGUAAUCGCGGAUCAGCACGCCGCGGUGAAUACGUUCCCGGGCCUC
rnacentral:rRNA from 1 species